AGGACAGUCUGGAGACGGAAGUGGCAGAUGAACCUCUUGUCUGGGCUGAGGAAAAUCUGGACCCGACUGAGGACCUCACCCCCAUCAUACAGGAGGAAGCAGAAGAACCAGCAGCCAUCCAGCCCAAGGCCCAAGCAGAGACCAGGACCACCUGGAGGAGACACCUGACUCAGGCUUUCAGGAGGAUGUUCUGCCUCUGCUGACACCAAUGUCUGUGUGCCCCGUUUGUGUGUGUAUAUAAUAAAUAUGUACAUUGU